rnacentral:rRNA from 1 species
AAUAGAUACCCUGGUAGUCCACGCCGUAAACGAUGAUCACUGGACGUUAGUCUCAUUGGAGAUUAGUGUCGUAGCUAACGCGAUAAGUGAUCCGCCUGGGAAGUACGGUCGCAAGAUUAAAACUUAAAGGAAUUGACGGGGGUCCGCACAAGCGGUGGAACAUGUGGUUUAAUUCGACACUACGCGAGAAACCUUACCUGGGUUUGACAUGUAUUUGACCGUUAUAGAAAUAUAAUCUUUCGUGAGUAAUCACGAACAAAUACACAGGUGCUGCAUGGCUGUCGUCAGCUCGUGUUGUGAGAUGUUGGGUUAAGUCCUUUAACGAGCGCAACUCCUGCCGUUAGUUGCUAUCUUGAAAAGAGCACUCUAGCGGGACUGCCUGGGAGACCAGGAGGAAGGCGGGAAUGACGUCAAGUCCGCAUGGCCCUUAUGCCCAGGGCAACACACGUGUUACAAUGGCUAAUACAAAGGGUCGCAAGCUCGUAAGAGUGAGCUAAUCCCCUAAAGUUAGUCUAAGUUCGGAUUGAGGUCUGC